CCUACGGGAGGCAGCAGUAAGGAAUAUUGGGCAAUGGACGAAAGUCUGACCCAGCCAUGCCGCGUGGAGGAUGAAGGUCCUCUGGAUUGUAAACUUCUUUUAUCUGGGAAGAAAUCUACGGUUUCCACUGUAGUUGACGGUACCAGAUGAAUAAGCACCGGCUAACUCCGUGCCAGCAGCCGCGGUAAU
rnacentral:rRNA from 1 species